rnacentral:rRNA from 1 species
GAUGAACGCUGGCGGCGUGCCUAAUACAUGCAAGUCGAGCGAACAGACGAGGAGCUUGCUCCUCUGACGUUAGCGGCGGACGGGUGAGUAACACGUGGAUAACCUACCUAUAAGACUGGGAUAACUUCGGGAAACCGGAGCUAAUACCGGAUAAUAUAUUGAACCGCAUGGUUCAAUAGUUAAAGACGGUUUUGCUGUCACUUAUAGAUGGAUCCGCGCCGCACUAGCUAGUUGGUAAGGUAACGGCUUACCAAGGCAACGAUGCGUAGCCGACCUGAGAGGGUGAGCGGCCACACUGGAACUGAGACACGGUCCAGACUCCUACGGGAGGCAGAAGUAGGGAAUCUUCCGCAAUGGGAGAAAGCUUGACGGAGCAACGCCGCGUGAGUGAUGAAGGUCUUCGGAUCGUAAAACUCUGUUAUUAGGGAAGAACAAAUGUGUAAGUAACUAUGCACGUCUUGACGGUACCUAAUCAGAAAGCCACGGCUAACUACGUG